ensembl:lncRNA
UCACCUAUUCCUGACUAUGGUCAUGCUAAAUUUGAGACGUUCAUCUACACAGGAAGUAGAUCAUCCUCUCCCACAUCACCAAUCCUAGAUAUUGAGUAUUCUGAGUUAUGUCCGAAUGAGUUGUUCAAUGAAGACAGAAUGUGGUCUCCAGAUUCAUCAUAUUCACCAGAUGCAUGGAGACCUCUGUCUCCUGAUUCACCUAUUCCUGAAUAUAUUCAUUCUACAUGUGACCAGCUGAUAUGUUCAACUAGCAGAUCAUCAUCUCCCUUAUCUUUAGCAUCAGAUAUUGAAUACUCUGACCUCUAUCUUGAGGAAUUAUUCCAAGAAGGGAGAAUAGAUUCACCGGAACCAUUAUGUUUAUGUGAUGAAGGUAGACCUCUGUCUCCUGAUUCACCUAUUCCUGAAUAUGGCUGCCAUACAUUUGAACAGAUAAACUUCACAGGUAAACGAUCAUCAUCUCCCAUAUUUUUAGCGUCAGAUAUUGAAUACUCUGACCUUUAUCUUGAGGAAUUAUUCCAAGAAGGGAGAAUAGAUUCACCGGAACCAUUAUGUUUAUGUGAAUCAGGUAGACUUCUGUCUCCUGAUUCACCUAUUCCUGACUAUGGUCAUGAUACAUUUGAGAUGUCAAUCUACACAGGAAGUAGAUCAUCCUCUCCCACAUCACCAAUCCUAGACAUUGAGUAUUCUGAGUUUUGUCUGAAUGAGUUGUUCAAUGAAGACAGAUCGUGGUCUCCAGAUUCAUCAUAUUCACCAGAUAAAUGUAGACCUCUGUCUCCUGAUUCACCUAUUCCUGCGUUUGUUUGCCCAAUAUUUGAGCAGUUUGUCUAUGGAAGUAAUAGAACAUCAUCUCCCAUAUCUCUAGUAUCUGAUAAUGAAUACUCUGAAAUGUGUUUUGAAGAGUUGUUCAGUGAAGACAGACCAGAGUCACCGGAAUCAGAAAUAAACACCAACGAGACUGUGAGAGGCCUGAGUGAGCAUAGACCAAUAUCACCAGACUCCCUCACAUCUGAAAAUGACUAUUCCUUAACUUUCCUUGAGUGGCUAGAGGAAGAAAGAACAUCCUCACCAGAAGCCUUUACAUCAAUAGAUGAAUAUACAGCCCUGUCUCCUGAUUCCCCUAUUCCUGAAUAUGGCUGCCAUACAUUUGAACAGUUAAACUUCACAGGUAAACGAUCAUCAUCUCCCGUAUCUUUAGCGUCAGAUAUUGAAUACUCUGAUCUUUAUCUUGAGGAAUUGUUCCAAGAAGGGAGAAUAGAUUCACCGGAACCAUUGUGUUUAUGUGAUGAAGGUAGACUUCUGUCUCCUGAUUCACCUAUUCCUGACUUUGGUCAUGCUAAAUUUGAGACGUCAAUCUACACAGGAAGUAGAUCAUCCUCUCCUACAUCACCAAUCCUAGACAUUGAGUAUUCUGAGUUGUGUCUGAAUGAGUUGUUCAAUGAAGACAGAACGUGGUCUCCAGAUUCAUCAUAUUCACCAGAUGCAUGUAGACCUCUGUCUCCUGAUUCACCUAUUCCUGAAUAUGGCUGCCAGAC